UACAACUUUCAGCAAUGGAUCUCUUGGCUCUCGCAUCGAUGAAGAACGCAGCGAAAAGCGAUAUGUAAUGUGAAUUGCAGAUCUACAGUGAAUCAUCGAAUCUUUGAACGCACCUUGC
rnacentral:rRNA from 1 species